rnacentral:rRNA from 1 species
CAACAGGGAUUGCCUUAGUAACUGCGAGUGAAGCGGCAAAAGCUCAAAUUUGAAAUCUGACGUCUGAUCGGGCGUUCCGAGUUGUAAUUUGGAGGAGCGGCUUCGGGAGCGGCACCGUCUCAAGUUCCGUGGAACCGGACGUCACAGAGGGUGAGAAUCCCGUGUCUGGACGGGCUAGCCUGUUCCCAUGCGAAGUGCUUCCGACGAGUCGAGUUGUUUGGGAAUGCAGCUCAAAAUGGGUGGUAAAUUUCAUCUAAAGCUAAAUAUUGGCGAGAGACCGAUAGCGCACAAGUAGAGUGAUCGAAAGAUGAAAAGCACUUUGAAAAGAGAGUUAAAAAGUACGUGAAAUUGUUGAAAGGGAAGCGCUUGAGAUCAAACUCGGUCUUUGGUGAAGCGUGCGAUUUAGCUCGUAGCCUCUCCCUUUGACCGGGCCAGCAUCGGUUUUGAUGGCGGGAGAAACGGUAGAGGAAUGUGGCUCUCUUUGGAGAGUGUUAUAGCCAAUACCACAUACCGCCAGUCGAGACCGAGGACCCCCCGCGCUACGGCUAGGAUGCUGGCGUAAUGGUCUUCAGCGACCCGUCUUGAAACACGGACCAAGGAGUCUAACAUCUAUGCGAGUGUUCGGGUGAAAAACCCUUGCGCGUAAUGAAAGUGAAUGGAGGUGGGAACCGCAAGGUGCACCAUCGACCGAUCCCGAUGUUUUCGGAAGGAUUUGAGUAUAAGCAUAGCUGUUGGGACCCGAAAGAUGGUGAACUAUGCCUGAAUAGGGUGAAGCCAGAGGAAACUCUGGUGGAGGCUCGCAGCGGUUCUGACGUGCAAAUCGAUCGUCAAAUUUGGGUAUAGGGGCGAAAGACUAAUCGAACCAUCUAGUAGCUGGUUCCUGCCGAAGUUUCCCUCAGGA